AGUCUCAGUUCGGAUCGCAGGCUGCAACUCGCCUGCGUGAAGUUGGAAUUGCUAGUAAUCGCGGAUCAGCAUGCCGCGGUGAACACGUUCCCGGGCCUUGUACACACCGCCCGUCACACCAUGGGAGUUUGUAACACCCGAAGUCAGUAUCCUAACCGCAAGGGGGGAGCUGCCGAAGGUGGGAUAAGCGACUGGGUGAAGUCGUAACAAGGUAUC
rnacentral:rRNA from 1 species